rnacentral:tRNA from 1 species
AAGACCAUAGUCAAUAUUAUGAUAUAUGAGUUGCAUUCAUAAGUAGUUAAUUAUAACUGGUUUUG